AACGAACGCUGGCGGCAGGCUUAACACAUGCAAGUCGAACGCUCACCUUCGGGUGGGAGUGGCAGACGGGUGAGUAACGCGCGGGAACGUACCCUUUGGUUCGGAAUAACCCAGGGAAACUUGGGCUAAUACCGGAUACGCCCUUCGGGGGAAAGGUUUACUGCCGAAGGAUCGGCCCGCGUCGGAUUAGCUAGUUGGUGGAGUAAAAGCCUACCAAGGCGACGAUCCGUAGCUGGUCUGAGAGGAUGAUCAGCCACACUGGGACUGAGACACGGCCCAGACUCCUACGGGAGGCAGCAGUGGGGAAUAUUGGACAAUGGGCGCAAGCCUGAUCCAGCCAUGCCGCGUGAGUGAAGAAGGCCUUAGGGUUGUAAAGCUCUUUCAGCGGGGAAGAUAAUGACAGUACCCGCAGAAGAAGCCCCGGCUAACUUCGUGCCAGCAGCCGCGGUAAUACGAAGGGGGCUAGCGUUGUUCGGAAUUACUGGGCGUAAAGCGCGCGUAGGCGGGUGAUUAAGUCAGGGGUGAAAUGCCGAGCCUCAACCUCGGAACUGCCUUUGAUACUGGUCGCCUGGAAUUCGGGAGAGGUAAGUGGAAUUCCGAGUGUAAAGGUGAAAUUCGUA
rnacentral:rRNA from 1 species